rnacentral:rRNA from 1 species
AGCUCCAAUAGCGUAUAUUAAAGUUGUUGCAGUUAAAAAGCUCGUAGUUGGAUCUCGGGCACUAGCAUGUGGUACACUUAAUUGUUGUUACUACUUGUCUAGUCCUAAUCAAUCGGUUUGCCAGUUUAUGCCCUUCACUGGGUGUUUUCUGUGGCCGGUACGUUUACUUUGAGAAAAUUAGAGUGCUUAAAGCAGGCAUAUGCCUGAAUAAUGUUGCAUGGAAUAAUAGAAUAGGACCUCGGUUCUAUUUUGUUGGUUUUGUAGAGCAUUGAGGUAAUGAUUAAUAGGGACAGACGGGGGCAUUCGUAUUGCAGUGUUAGAGGUGAAAUUCUUGGAUCGCUGCAAGACGAACAACUGCGAAAGCAUUUGCCAAGAAUGUUUUCAUUAAUCAAGAACGAAA